AAUAGGAACUCUCCUUGGUAAUGUUAAUCUCCACCGUUCCUAUAGUGACAAUCUAACGGUGUAUACGAAUAACUUUUUUAAAAUAAACAGUUAAAACUCAAGUAUUUCUGAGUGGUUGAUUUUGACGUCAACAACUAAAAUCGACCAGGUUACAAAAUGGCCGGUGAACCUGCCUUGUUCAAAUUCCUCCAGCCAAGGCUUCGUCCUCAACCCGCAGACAUCCAAGCCGCCGCCUUAUGGGGUGUCGCUGCCACCACUACCGCUAUCUGGCUCAUCCAACCUUUCGAUUGGCUGAAAAGGACCUUUUUGGAGAAACCGAGUGAAGGGCAGUAAAGAUAGAAGCAUGGUGAAACUUUCUGAUUUUGUGUGUGAGGUUUUUUAUGAGAAAAAAACAUGAAAAGAAUUUCUUUGAAUGAUGGCUCAUCUCGUUUUGUUGAGGUCAUUUUGUAAUAAAUUUCUGGAAUAUUUGAUAGUGCGGACCAUAAAUUUGUGUUAAUGAGAAUUUUCAGUUUAUUCGCAGAA